GCUGGCGCGGGAGCGAGAGCGUCGAGGCGGCGGGUGUUCAAGGCGCCCUCACGCCGCGCCGCCCCGGCCCGGCCCGACCCAGUCCGCUCCUGAGCAUCUCUCCGGCAUCCAUCACACGCUUUAUGCAAAAGUCACACUCAUGAUUCUGAGUCUGUGGAAUGUUUUGUUGUUUAAAAAUGAAAAAUAAAAUGGAACGACCCCCCAGAUUUGAUCCGAGCGCGUGGGUUAAAUCAACUGCUGAGCCGCGGUGUGGCGGGGCGCUACGGAAUCCUUGCGGGGAAGAAGCAGGCGGAGGUUUGAAUGUCAGGGAAAGUGCUAGAGAAAAGCUGGUGACAAAAGAUGGCUCGCUGUGUGUCGUCGGAGCCAGGGACCUAGAAAGCGACGGAAACACGCCCACCUGCAGAACUACGAUGCUGGGUCGCAGGGGAUUUCUAGUUUCACUCUGCAUUUUGCUUUCCGACGGAGAGCCGGGGACACCGGGACGUCCCGGGACCCCAGUCGUCUGGACGACUCCGGGGUAGAGUCGUCCAUCUGCGUGUGUGUUCUCUCCGUGCCCGCCGGGGCUAAGCCAGGGAGAUGAGCGGAAGACGGCGAGAGCAGGAGCAGAAGCUGAGUUCCUCCUGAUAAUGACAGGGGAGAAGAAGCUAAUGUCGUCUGUGCUCUCCUCCCUGGCUUGAGAGCAACUCACUCCACCCAGGAUUUCAUA